CCCUGCUUGCCGUAAAUCCCGCUCGCUUCAUCCUCUUUAGACRUGCACUGUGUUGGUGAAGUAAAUUUUGUUCUUGGCUUUCCUUUAAGGACAGAAUCUGUGUGGUUGCCGUGGCCCUGAGCUUACUACUGAUGAACUUGGAAGCAAAGAAAGGUGCUGUACAAAGAGUGGGGUGUUUAAAGGUCGCUUCUUCAGUGGCUUCACUCUGGAGCUACAUGUUAAAUGGCCUCAGC